rnacentral:rRNA from 1 species
GACGAACCGUGCGAACGUUAUUCGGAUUCACUGGGCUUAAAGCGCGUGCAGGCGGCCCGGCACGUCGGUCGCUGAAAGCCCCCGGCUCAACCGGGGAAUGGGCGCCGAUACGACCGGGCUUGAGGGCGGUAGGGGGAGCUGGAACUUCCGGUGGAGCGGUGAAAUGCGUUGAGAUCGGAAGGAACGCCCGUGGCGAAAGCGAGCUCCUGGACCGCCCCUGACGCUCAGACGCGAAAGCCAGGGGAGCGAACGGG